rnacentral:tRNA from 1 species
GCUCCCAUGGCGUAGUGGUCAGUGCGCUCGCUUUGCACGCGGGAGACCCGGGUUCGACUCCCGGCGGGGUCA